AACGAACGCUGGCGGCAGGCCUAACACAUGCAAGUCGAACGCCGUAGCAAUACGGAGUGGCAGACGGGUGAGUAACACGUGGGAACAUACCCUUCGGUUCGGAAUAACUCAGGGAAACUUGUGCUAAUACCGGAUACGUCCGCAAGGAGAAAGAUUUAUCGCCGAAGGAUUGGCCCGCGUCUGAUUAGCUUGUUGGUGAGGUAAUGGCUCACCAAGGCGACGAUCAGUAGCUGGUCUGAGAGGAUGAUCAGCCACAUUGGGACUGAGACACGGCCCAAACUCCUACGGGAGGCAGCAGUGGGGAAUAUUGGACAAUGGGCGAAAGCCUGAUCAGCCAUGCCGCGUGAGUGAUGAAGGCCUUAGGGUUGUAAAGCUCUUUUACCUGGGAAGAUAAUGACGGUACCAGGAGAAUAAGCCCCGGCUAACUUCGUGCCAGCAGCCGCGGUAAUACGAAGGGGGCUAGCGUUGUUCGGAUUUACUGGGCGUAAAGCGCACGUAGGCGGAUCUUUAAGUCAGGGGUGAAAUCCCGAGGCUCAACCUCGGAACUGCCUUUGAUACUGGGGAUCUCGAGUCCGGGAGAGGUGAGUGGAACUGCGAGUGUAGAGGUGAAAUUCGUAGAUAUUCGCAAGAACACCAGUGGCGAAGGCGGCUCACUGGCCCGGUACUGACGCUGAGGUGCGAAAGCGUGGGGAGCAAACAGGAUUAGAUACCCUGGUAGUCCACGCCGUAAACGAUGGAUGCUAGCCGUUAGACAGCUUGCUGUUUAGUGGCGCAGUUAACGCUUUAAGCAUCCCGCCUGGGGAGUACGGUCGCAAGAUUA
rnacentral:rRNA from 1 species